GACAGAGGCCUCGAGCGUUAGGCGGAAUCACUGGGCUUAAAGCGUGUGUAGGCGGACUUCUAAGUACCUUGUGAAAUCCCACGGCUCAACCGUGGAACUGCUUGGUAUACUGGUCGUCUUGAGCCAUCUAGGGGCUGUCGGAACAAAUGGUGGAGCGGUGAAAUGCGUAGAUAUCAUUUGGAACGCCAAAGGUGAAAACAGACAGCUGGGGAUGUGCUGACGCUGAGACACGAAAGCCAGGGGAGCGAACGGG
rnacentral:rRNA from 1 species